rnacentral:rRNA from 1 species
GAGCGAGAUCUUCGGAUCUAGCGGCGGACGGGUGAGUAACGCGUGGGAAUAUGCCCUUCUCUACGGAAUAGCCUCGGGAAACUGGGAGUAAUACCGUAUACGCCCUUUGGGGGAAAGAUUUAUCGGAGAAGGAUUAGCCCGCGUUGGAUUAGGUAGUUGGUGGGGUAAUGGCCUACCAAGCCGACGAUCCAUAGCUGGUUUGAGAGGAUGAUCAGCCACACUGGGACUGAGACACGGCCCAG